rnacentral:rRNA from 1 species
GACGAACCGUGCGAACGUUAUUCGGAAUCACUGGGCUUAAAGCGCGUGUAGGCGGGCCGCCGCGUCGGCUGCUGAAAUCCCACGGCUCAACCGUGGAACUGCUGGGUAUACUGGUUGUCUUGAGCCAGCUAGGGGCGAGCGGAACAGACGGUGGAGCGGUGAAAUGCGUAGAUAUCGUCUGGAACGCCGAAGGUGAAAACAGCUCGCUGGGGCUGCGCUGACGCUGAGACACGAAAGCCAGGGGAGCGAACGGG